rnacentral:pre_miRNA from 1 species
AUUACAAUUGCUGGUCCAUAUGGUGGUUGCAGGUUUACUUUUUCCAAGAAACUAUCAAACUCUUUUCCAAAAUUGCUAUAUCAUUUUACAUUUCUGCCAGCAAA